CUGCCCGGCGUGGAGCGUUCAGUCGUGCGUGGCCUUGCGUCCCGGGCAAGGCGGACACCCGGCCAGGCAUGGUGGAUGCUCUGGCAUCAGAAAUGCUGCCUGGACCUCCCUGCAGAAGGAUGCACCUGACCACAUUGCCCAGGCAGGGUGUGGAAACUUCCCACCCCAGGGGGAGCAAUGCCCUCUUCUCGGGCAUCUCUCAAGCGAGGCUUGAAAGAAUAAAAGAUCUCCAAGCCCUCCUUGCAGUGGCCUGGGCAUGGCUCUCCAGGAGAAUGAAGGCCUCCCCAGCAAUGCAACCAGCAUUAGGCCCAGGGGCAUGUGGGAAUGGGGAAAGGGGAGAAAGGGAAGAACUUCCCAUGGCAAAGGGAAAGGACAGAAGGAAGAGGUUUGGAGGAAGAGGAACAAAGAAAACGUUUAUUUGCUGCUGAUCUGUCCUGGACUGACCCACCCCUGCCCUGCCCACUGCCCUGACCUCCAUGGAGCCGGCACAACCAGAUCUGUCUGAUCUGGGAAGCAAUUUUAAAGAUCACCCAGGUCCAGGAUGUCCAUCUGAACAAUCUCUCCAGAGCAAAACCAGGACUAAAAACAAAGGAGAAAAAGUUUAAGACCCACAAGGGGCCACACAGGGACUGAGCAACCUGUUUUUCAGAUAAGCAUCUGAUCUUAGAAGUUUUCCUUCUCAUCUGUGCUGCUGAGGCCCCAUAGUGGGGGUUGGGAGGUGGAGGUCAGACCUGGGCUCUUCCCGAAACAUGUGCUGGGCACACAACCAGAGCUGGCUGAGGGGUCGCCACCUCCAGCUUUGGGGCAGAGGCCCUGGGACCCCCAGCCACUGGACAGAUCUACCCCUCCAUGCUGGAUGCACAGAGCCUGGUGGGGGAGGAAGAAUCCUUGAUGUUUCGCCCACUUCCUUCCUUUGCCAAACCAUAAAUCCACGGCAGGGCCAGAGAAUCCUCUUGGUUGAGCCCAGUUGUGAAAACAACCUCUGUGUGCUGGGAAAGAAAUGGUGCACACAUCCCCCACACUCCCCGAUCCACUCCCAAAGGAUGAAGAUCUUUUUCCCAAAUAAAGAAGAAAGAAUCAAAGAAAAGAAGGGGAAGGAAGAAAGAAAAAGAAAACCAGGAGAAAGGAAAGAAGAGAGUAAGAUUUGGUGAGAGAAAAGAGCAGACCGAACCUCUGAGAAGAGAGCGAGAAUAUGGCCUAGGGGCUGAGGUCAUUUCUAGGUGCUGCUAGGGACCUGAUACUGACUCAUCAAAAAAUGACCUGAAGGGAGACAGAGUCUUGCCUUGCACGACUGGAUUGUAUUUCUCCAGGACAAAUGAAGGAGGGUCUGAAGAAGUGGGUGGGUGGGAUUCGGAAUCCCCAUUCUGUGGAGGAUCACAAUGGUGCUCUUAGGGGAGGAGCCUUUCUUUGUCAUGAGAUAGCAAGAAAAUAUCAGGUUAGACACUUGGGGACAGCGCUCCUUCCUGGCUAAGGGGAAUGACCAUGUGGCACGACUUCCAUUAACAUAAAUUCAUCUUUAAGAAACGCAAAGAUUGCUCAGUUAAAAUGCAUGCUCUGGUCACUGGCCACAGUGGGGCUUGGAUUGUUCUGAUAGAAUCAUGAGUCUGGGCCGCGGAGCUGGAAUUCUGGCUAUCUUAGGGAACAUUCUCUGUCCCCCCAUCUCACUCAGCAAACACACAUGUCAGGUGCACUCUCGCCUGGGAUAGGCUGCUCAGUUUUUAUUCUGUUUUCAAAGAAAUGCAAGUCCUCCCUAAGAAAAGCAAGACUCACUGGGAACCACAACAGCUGAGAUCCAAUUACAAUUACUUUGCAUGUCAGAAUACAGAGCCAAAUAAGUAAGAAUCAAGAAAAAUAACCAAACAGAAUGGCAACAGGGACAUACUGACAGUAGACUCAGAUGUUGGGGUUGUGGGCACAUCCAGUUAAAUGCUGGAGAAAGUAAAUGAGAAGAUGGGGAAUUCCACCAGAGAACUGGAAUCUACAAAUACAAUCAGACAAGAAUUUUAAUGCUGAAAAUAGAAUGCAAACGAUAGACAAAACAGCAGAUAAGACAGAGUGGAAGAGAUCAGUAAAUGGAAAGAUAAGUCGGUAGAAAAUAUUAAAAUUGCAGCACAGAGAGAAAAAAAGAUGUAGCAUAUAGAAGAGUUCAUGAGGGCAGACAAUUCACAUGAACAUUUACCUCUGCACUGGAGCUCUGGGGAAAGAGAAGGGGGAGAACAGGGCAGGAGCAGUGUCUGAAAGAGUCUGACCCAGAAUUUCACGGAGCUGAUUAAAGACAUCAGGCUGUAUUGAGUUAUGGACAUGAGUAGCUCUAUGAAACCCAGGCAAGUGCAUACAGGACACCACAGGGAAGCUCGUUAGAGCCACAAGGGUGAAAAAGAAAGGCAAGAGAAGAAUCUUCAACACAGCCAAAGAAAAACAACAUUUAACAGAUCUGCAAUAAGGUGAUUGGCUGAAUUUUUUUGGCGGGGGGUACUGGGGAUCGAACUUGAGUCCUUGCGCUUGCGCAGCAGGCAGCAAAACCACUGAGCUAAAUCCCCGGCCCUUGGCUAACUUUUUGAUAGCCAAAGACAAUAGAGUGACAUACAGUCAUGCUGGGGACUUUGUCUGGAGAAAUGUGCCUUUAGGUGAUGUAGUCAUGGUGUGACCCUCAUAGAGUACACUUCACCUAGACUAAGAGGGCUGCAUCAAGGGAUCCCUGUCCUAAAUGUGGUUUUUCAUGAACUGAACCACUAUUUGAUGCAUGACUAUUAAAAUUGCUGAAACAAAAUAAUUUUGAACUAAGGGUUCUGUAUCUGGAGAAAUCUUCCAAACAUGAAAGUGAAAUAAAGAUGUUUUCAGAUGAACAAAAACUAAUAGGAUUCAUUGCCAGCAGAUCUACACUGAAAGAAAUACUAAAGUGAGUUUCAGAACAAAGGAAAAUAAUCUCAAAGGGAAGUUUAAUAAGGUAAAAAGGAAUCAAGAACUCUAGGAAGAGAAAAGAUGCAGUGAAGUCUCAAUAAAUUUUGAUUAAAAGUUGGGCUGGGGAUUUAGCUCAGUGGUUCUGGUGCCUGCCUCGAAAGUGCAAAGUCCGGAGUUCAAUCCCUGGUACCCCCCCCAAAAUAAAUUUUGAUUAAGUUACCAAUAGUAUGAGUGGGGGUUAAAAUAGGAGUGGAAUUAAUGCAAGAAUAAAAUAACACAAAAAGUAAAGAUGGACAAAUGGAGUUAAGGGCAUUUAAGUUUUCUGCAUUGUCUAAAAGUUGUUGAAGCACUAUUGUAAGUCAGGCUUUAAAGAUUCAGGGAUACAUGUCAGAAUUAUUAGGGUAACCACCAGAAGAAGAAUAAAAGAAUGUAAAACUAAGCUAAUAGAGAAACUGUAGUUUAAGAAAUAAUUGACUGGUGAGGUGUGGUGGUGUAUACCUGUAAUCCCAGCUACUCAGGAGGAUUGAAAACAAAUAAAUAAAUAGUUAAAAAAAAAAGGCCGAGAGUGUAGUUUGGUGGUAGAGCACUUUCCUAGUAUGCAUGAAGUCCUACAUUCAGUUCCUAGUACAAUAGAGAGAGAGAGAGAGAGAGAGAGAGAGACAGAGAGAGAGAGAGACAGAGAGAGAGAGAGACAGAGAGAGGAGAGAUUCAAAAACUAUGGACAAAUAUAAAACAUACACAGUGGAUGUAAAUCUAAAUAUAUCAAUAAUUAUAAUAAAAAUAAAUGAGCAAAUAUUCCAGUUAAAUGACAAAAUUAUCACAAGAAUUUUUUUUUUAAAAUCUGAACUAUAUAAAAUUUUUAGAAGCCACACUUUAAUAUAAAGACACAAAAUUGUUAAAACUCAAAGGAUGAAAAAGAUACAUACCACAUGAAUACAAUCAAAAGGAAGCUCCACUAGGUAAUAUACUAAUAUCGAGUAAAUUAGAUUUCAAAAUAAAAAACAUUACUAGAGUUGAAGAGGGACUUUUUUUAAUAGUACAUCAAUUCAACUGAAAAAUAAAAGGUUUUCUUUCUCCUUUUUAGAACAAGAAAAAUAAUCUCAAAUGGAAGUUAAAUAAGAUAAAAAGGAAUGAAGAACUCUAGGAAGAGAAAAGGUGCAAAAUUUCAAAGAGAAAUUUUGAUUGUGUGUGUGUGUGUGUGUUACUGAGAAUUAAAU